GAGUAAUGCGUGACCAACCUGCCCCAUGCUCCAGAAUAGCUCUUGGAAACGGGUGGUAAUGCUGGAUGCUCCAACUUGACGCAUGUCUUGUUGGGAAAGUGUUUAGUGGCAUGGGAUGGGGUUGCGUCCUAUCAGCUUGUAGGCGGGGUAAUGGCCCACCUAGGCUUCGACGGGUAGCCGGCCUGAGAGGGCGGACGGCCACAUUGGGACUGAGAUACGGCCCAGACUCCUACGGGAGGCAGCAGGU
rnacentral:rRNA from 1 species